AACGAACGCUGGCGGCAUGCCUAACACAUGCAAGUCGAACGAGACCUUCGGGUCUAGUGGCGCACGGGUGCGUAACGCGUGGGAACCUGCCCUUAGGUUCGGAAUAACUCCCCGAGAGGGGUGCUAAUACCGGAUAAUGUCUUCGGACCAAAGAUUUAUCGCCUUUGGAUGGGCCCGCGUUGGAUUAGCUAGUUGGUAGGGUAAAAGCCUACCAAGGCGACGAUCCAUAGCUGGUCUGAGAGGAUGAUCAGCCACACUGGGACUGAGACACGGCCCAGACUCCUACGGGAGGCAGCAGUGGGGAAUAUUGGACAAUGGGCGAAAGCCUGAUCCAGCAAUGCCGCGUGAGUGAUGAAGGCCUUAGGGUUGUAAAGCUCUUUUACCCGGGAUGAUAAUGACAGUACCGGGAGAAUAAGCUCCGGCUAACUCCGU
rnacentral:rRNA from 1 species